rnacentral:lncRNA from 1 species
UCACUGAACAAGGUCUCAAGUGCUAGUUGGUCAACACCCCAUGCUAGGUUUCCUACAUAGACUCUAUUGCCGCUGUCCAUGCUUCCCCCACCCCUGCCUCCACGGAAAGAAGAAUUGUCCCUGAAAGAAUUCUCCCUUUUGGGUGGUGGUGGCCCAGAGUUCACCCUCAAUGGCCUCCCGUCAAUUUCCUACCAAAAGAAUCAAAACAUUUGCUCAGUGUCGAAACAAAUUAAGAUAUCCAAGGCCACGAGAAUUCAAAACUUCUGGGAAUAUUUAGACAUGCACAUUAGAGAAAAAUAACCAAGAAAGACGACAAAGAAAAAGACUUUACAUAGCCAUUAAAUUGUUGACAGGCAGCUUCGACUGCCUCUUUUGAGGACAUUGUCACAAAGCCAAAACCUCUGCUUCUUCCUGAAAGCUUGUCAUAGAUAACCUGCAAAAGUUAGCAGCUCCAGUAAGUCCAUUUAAACCACUCAUCCAACUGUUUGCAUCCUCACUCUCCCGAUCAAGAUUGAAAACAAUGGCCUAGUCAUACAAUAAGAUUAUCAAGAACAAACCUUAAAGGCUCAACGUGGUUAGUUAUUCAAAGUUUCAAACACUGCCAAGCAGAAUUUCAAUAUAAUAAGUCCAUUAGCCUACCAUCAACUCAUUAACACUCUAACUGGACAUCCAAACAUCAAGAGGCCAAAACGAUUUCCUUCUUUAACACCUUAAGGCAUAAACAAAAUUACGCAGUAAGAAACUUGUUGAAUAGUGAAAACGGCCUCAUUUUAAUGUUUAAGUUGUUAAGAGAAGACACUUAACUUAUUACUCUUAGAUAGGCAACAUGUCCUCUCAUGCUAAGUUGCGCAGAUUCUUCACUUUUGAUGCCAAAUAUAACUACUUUUGGAGAAUCCGAUAUGCACCAGCUGACAUUUUCGAAGAGUCCGAGCAGCAUAGCUCUCAUGUACUCUGCUGCGUUGAAUUGCAUCAACAUCUUAUCUAAGAGACUAAACUUUCACAAAUAACCACUUCAAAUUUACUAGUUUUAGGUUUACAUAGACCUCAAGAUUCAACCUUCACAAGGGUAGUUACUUAAACAUAGCCAAAUAAAACUUCAUAUCAUCUAACAAAGAAGCCCACUUACAACAUAGCUCUAAUAACACGUGAUGAGGAAGGGUUCUAAUGCUCCAGUGCGGAGGUAUGAGACACUGACUCUGGAUGAUUUUGGGCAGGGUAGAGGGAGGCCGAAGAAAUAUUGAAGGGAGGUGAUUAGGCAUAAUAUGGAGCAGUUACAGCUUACGCAAAACAUGACCUUUGAUAGGAAGGUGUGGAGGAUGCAGAUUAGGGUAGAGGGUUAGGGGUGAGAGGGCGUCGGUCGCUGAAGUUUCUUGUUCGUGGGUUGUGUGUUGUCUAUGGUUUCGAAUAUAUAGUUUUAGUAGUAUCUUGUGCUAGCGGUAGUUUAUUUUGUCUGUACAAGUUUAUAUGCAUUUAUGUUUUGUUGCUAUACUGUUAUUGGUUCUAAGCCGAGAGUCUAUCGGAAAUAGCCUCUCUACUUCUCCUGAGGUAGUGGUAUGGUCUGCGUGCACUCUACCCUCCCCAGACCCCACUAGGUGGGAAUACACCGGGUAUGUUGUUGUUGUAGAGAUAGCCACUUUAAUUUCACUACUUUUAGCUUUGCCCAGACCUUAAAGAUUCAAAACUCACAUAGUUCAUUAAAUAUAACCAAACAAGCCCUCAAACUAUAUAAACAAAUAAACCCAUGAAAAGGAUUAAAUAUUUUACCUCCACAAGGUAGGGGGUACAAACCACUCUCCCCAGACCCCACUUGUGGGAUUACACUAGGCAUGUUGUUGCAAUGUCACAAAAUUACAAGCGUGCAAAUGCAUAACGAGCACUUCAAUUUUACUACUUUUAGGUUUGCACAGACCUUAAAAGAUUCAAAAUUUACGAAGGUACUUACUUAAAGAUAGCCAAACAAUACCUCAAAUUACCUAAACAACUAAACCCACAAAAAGAUUAAAUCUUUUAUUGCCUCAACUAUCUCAACAUCUACAACACGCUCAAAAAAGAACGCAUCUUUACUCUUCUGCAACUCUUUAAUUCUAAAUUUCCACACGGCAUAGUUAACACCACAAGAUUAAACGACAUUUUGGUACAUUCUAGCAAUCUUUAGUUUAAGACAACAAGAUUCAAAGGUCUUAUUUACUUUAUUAAACUAUGUUUCAAGUCAAAAACAGAAAACAAAUUGAGUAAAUCCCCAAAAACAUAAUAUCUUUAAUUACCUCGACCAUAAUAUUAAACGGUAUUUUGGUACAUUCUACCUCUACUUAGCUUACGACUACCAUAUUCAAAAGUGUUCUUCACUUCUUAAAUUCCGUGCACGUCAAAAUCACACAAACAAAUUGAAAAAGGAGUAGUAAAACCCACAAAAAGAAAGAUUUAAUCUUUAAUUACCUCAACCAUCAGAUUACAACAACAACAACAAUAUACACCAAUAUAAUCCCACAAAAUUGGGUAAUUACCUCAACCCUAAAAUCAAACGAUAUUUUGGUACAUUUUACCUAUCUUUAGUUUAAGACCACCAUAAAUACGUCACUGGUACGUAACUCAACCAAAAAAGCUAGCUCAAAAAGCGAGAAUUGCCCAUGUACAUACAAACAGACCACUCACCCAUUCCCUAACCAUUGUGUAGUCUAACCUUACUCUAAAAAGGGCAGCCGGUACACUAAAGCUCCCGCUAUACACGGGUACGGGAAAGAGCCCCACUACAAGGGCGCCUUACCUUGCAUUUCGGACAAAGCCGGUUUUCAAGGCUUAAACACUCUCCAACAAUCACAAAAUUCAAAAUUGAUUAAUUAUUUUCUUGAACUCCGCACCAAGUCAAAAAUAAAACAAACAAAUUGAAAUGAAGAGAGUAAAAGUAAACCCCACAAAGAAAAGACAAAAAUCUUUUACUACUAUAUUACCUCAACCAUCUCAACCUCACCAGCUUGUUCAAAAAGCUCAGCAAGUGCAGCACUAUCAACACUAAAUGGCAAAUUCCCAACAAAGAUUUUCAAGUCAGGACUAACAUCCCUUUCUUCUUCUACUUCUAAUUCUCCACCAUCAUCACUACUCAAACCCCCUUCAACUUCCUCAAUCUGAUCAAAAUCAGAUAGAGUAACUCUCCUAACAAACCGCGAAGACAAACAAGAUUCAAAGUUUCUUGAUGAAGAGGAAGAUGAUGAUGAUAAAGAAAGGUUUAAUGAAGAAGGUGGAAGUGAAAAGAAGGAUAUAGAGGAUGUUUGUGAAGUGGGUUUAGGGAGUGUUUGUGGUGUAAGUGAAAGGAAGUGAAGGGAAGAAGAU